ACAACAAAGCAGUCCAUCUUAAACUGUGGAUACAUUUCAGUGUAAAGUAAAUCAGGGGAAAAUUGUACCAUCAUUUCAGGACAACACAAGAUGGAGUAUAAACAACUGAUCUUCCUGUUGGUUGUUAUGGUGAUGUACGCCGCCCUAGUCGAGGCAGACUACCCACGUUAUGGUUACUACGACUACGACUAUGGAUUUCCUCGAUCAUUCAGAGCAAUGCGCCAACGAUACAUGAUGAGAGAAUUUUACGACGAAUUAUUCGAUGACUGAAUACUAUGCGUUCAGCUGUGGUCGUUGGCUCUUUUACAUGUGCCUUGCUUAUAUUUGUGUUCUCUUUUAAUCCUCGUUAAGGUCGCUAUUGGAAAUAAAUGAUUAUGUAAUUGUUCUUG